rnacentral:rRNA from 1 species
GACGAACGCUGGCGGCGCGCUUAACACAUGCAAGUCGAGCGAAGCGGCGGACGGGUGAGUAACACGUGAGUAACCUGCCUUAGACAUUGGGAUAGCCUCGGGAAACCGGGAUUCAUACCAAAUGGUCUAAGAUGGACUCGCGUCCCAUUAGCUAGUUGGUGAGGGAACGGCCCACCAAGGCGACGAUGGGUAGCCGGCGUGAGAGGGGGAACGGCCACAUUGGAACGGAGAAACGGUCCAAACUCUCCGGGAGGCAGGAGUGGGGAAUAGCGCACAAUGGAGGGAAUUCUGAUGCAUCGACGCCGCGUGAACGAAGAAGUCUGUCGAGUCGUAAAGUGCUUUUAUAUGGGAAGCGGUACCAUAAGAAAAAGCCCCGGCUAACUACGUGCCAGCAGCCGCGGUAAUAC